AGGGUGUAAACGCUGCAGACUUGGUGUUGGGGGCCCGUUUCGGGGGUCGAUUCAGUGCCGGAGAGAAGUUGUUAAGUCUGCUACUUGGGGAGUACGUCCGCAAGGAUGAAACUUAAAGGAAUUGGCGGGGGGAGGCACCGCAACGGGAGGAGCGUGCGGUUUAAUUGGAUUCAACACCGUAAACUCACCAGGGAAGACUGUUACAUGAAGGCCGAGAUGAAGACUCUGCUAGAUUUUUCAGAGAGGAGGUGCAUGGCGUCAGUGACU
rnacentral:rRNA from 1 species